rnacentral:misc_RNA from 1 species
ACAAACUUGGUCAUUUAGAGGAAGUAAAAGUCGUAACAAGGUUUCCGUAGGUGAACCUGCGGAAGGAUCAUUAUUGAAAGCUUUUGGGAGAUACUGUUGCUGGCUUUUAAACAAGGCAUGUGCACGUAUUUCUUAAAUCUAUUCAUCCACCUGUGCAUCUUUUGUAGAAUGUCUCUUUUCAGAUCGGAUUUCUUUUUGCAGGUGUCUUUAGGGACCCUGUGAGGGAAUAAUGAUUUUGGAUAGAGCUUCUAUGUUUUAUAAACAAGUUAAGCAUGUUUAGAAUGUCGUUUUAUUGGGGCUUGAUUGACCCAUUAAACUUUGUACAACUUUCAGCAACGGAUCUCUUGGCUCUCCCAUCGAUGAAGAACGCAGC